AGCAGAAACAGCUAAAGGAUAAAAAGGAUAUUAACCUUGAAUUUGUUCAGAGUUAUGGCAGUGUGGCGACAAGGAUUAAAAUCAACUCCAGUGAUCCACAUUCUUCAACUUUAACUGAUCAAACAUCUCCACAAGACUGCGGCAUGUGUUGGAAACUGCUCUUCAUCCUGUGUCCAACUUUUGCAGCUCUCUCCUCUCUUCUUGUAUCUCUUCUUGUUCAUUACCUCUGCCAGAAAACAGAAGUCGAUCAACAAAGACCAGAAAUCAGUGGGCAAACAAGAAGAACUCAGGAUGAAGAUGUGCUUUAUGCUACAGUGGAAACACGUCAAGCAACACAGCAGCGAUCAAAGAAGAAGAUAACCUAUAGUUCUGACUUCUGCACCUAUUCUACUGUCAAGACCUCUGGGGUCUAGAUUUUACAUUCAAAAGUGCAUUAUGAAUCAGAAGUGAUUAAGUUUUUUGUUUUUCCAUUUUUCCUCUACCUACCAAGAUUAGUAAUAAUUAAAAUUGUCCAUUUCUUCUUCAGUGAGAUGCUUGUUUUCGAUGAUAUUUAAAGGUAUAUAGCCAGACAUUUUUUGAAGUUAUUUAAUGCAAAAAAUAUUGUUCUUGUAAAUUCCGACAGACUGAUGUAUCAUCAUUAAUCCAUUAAAAAUACAUAUGAAAAUACAUGAGUGCUUGUAAAAGCUCCCAUGUUGCCCUGCCA